UACGUAGGGACCGAGCGUUGUCCGGAAUCAUUGGGCGUAAAGAGCGUGUAGGCGGCUAUUUAAGUCCUGCGUGAAAUCCUGCGGCUCAACCGCAGACGGUCGUGGGAAACUGGAUGGCUAGAGUGCGGGAGAGGAGAGUGGAAUUCCUGGUGUAGCGGUGGAAUGCGCAGAUAUCAGGAAGAACACCCGUGGCGAAGGCGGCUCUCUAGUACGGUACUGACGCUGAGACGCGAAGCGUGGGAGCGAACAGG
rnacentral:rRNA from 1 species